rnacentral:tRNA from 1 species
ACUAUUAGUUAAUGAGCUUGAAAUAAGCUUAU